AGACACCAAUAUGUGUUUUUGUUGUCUGUGUUGUCUACAUAUAGUGCUAUAAAUUCUACUGAAUGACAGCCUUCCAAUCAUAUUCAUCCAUUUUCUCUCCAUGCUCCAGAUCUCAGGGUCUCAUCAAUUAAUCUUCUCAUUGUUGAAGUCUUCAACACCAACACAGUCUCAUCAUCAUCAUCAUCUACUGGUACUUCAGGUCGAUGAUAAAAUUGCUUUGUGUCGCUUGAGGUCAUACCAAUGAAGAGAAAACAGCAACACAGAGGCAGCCUUAGCAACUAAUGGAUUUUACAUCUGGAAGGGGAGAAAAGAACAAAUAUUUGACCAAUGGCUAAAAUAUUUCCACAUCAUCUAGCCUUCGAAAGAUCACCUAUGAGACGCGUCAGUUUUAGAACCAUAGAAGUUAAAUAAAGUAAGUAAUUAAUUCA
rnacentral:lncRNA from 12 species